AGUGGCGGACGGGUGAGUAACGCGUGAGAAUCUGCCUUCAGGUCGGGGACAACAGAGGGAAACUUCUGCUAAUCCCGGAUGAGCCUUAGGGUAAAAAAUUUAUUGCCUGGAGAUGAGCUCGCGUCUGAUUAGCUAGUUGGUAAGGUAAAAGCUUACCAAGGCAACGAUCAGUAGCUGGUCUGAGAGGAUGAGCAGCCACACUGGGACUGAGACACGGCCCAGACUCCUACGGGAGGCAGCAGUGGGGAAUUUUCCGCAAUGGGCGAAAGCCUGACGGAGCAAGACCGCGUGGGGGAGGAAGGCUCUAGGGUUGUAAACCCCUUUUCUUUGGGAAGAACAAAAUGACGGUACUAAAGGAAUCAGCCUCGGCUAACUCCGUGCCAGCAGCCGCGGUAAUACGGAGGAGGCAAGCGUUAUCCGGAAUGAUUGGGCGUAAAGCGUCCGCAGGUGGCAAUGUAAGUCUGCUGUCAAAACCCAGGGCUCAACUCUGGUCAGGCAGUGGAAACUACAUAGCUAGAGUUCGGUAGGGGCAAAGGGAAUUCCCGGUGUAGCGGUGAAAUGCGUAGAGAUCGGGAAGAACAUCGGUGGCGAAAGCGCUUUGCUAGACCGAAACUGACACUCAGGGACGAAAGCUAGGGGAGCGAAUGGGAUUAGAUACCCC
rnacentral:rRNA from 1 species